rnacentral:tRNA from 1 species
AGAGAGAUGGCAGAGUGGUCGAUUGCGACGGUCUUGAAAACCGUUGACUGUUACAGGUCCGGGGGUUCGAAUCCCUCUCUCUCUGCAA